AUUGAACGCUGGCGGCAUGCCUUACACAUGCAAGUCGAACGGCAGCACGGGUGCUUGCACCUGGUGGCGAGUGGCGAACGGGUGAGUAAUACAUCGGAACAUGUCCUGUAGUGGGGGAUAGCCCGGCGAAAGCCGGAUUAAUACCGCAUACGAUCCACGGAUGAAAGCGGGGGACCUUCGGGCCUCGCGCUAUAGGGUUGGCCGAUGGCUGAUUAGCUAGUUGGUGGGGUAAAGGCCUACCAAGGCGACGAUCAGUAGCUGGUCUGAGAGGACGACCAGCCACACUGGGACUGAGACACGGCCCAGACUCCUACGGGAGGCAGCAGUGGGGAAUUUUGGACAAUGGGCGAAAGCCUGAUCCAGCAAUGCCGCGUGUGUGAAGAAGGCCUUCGGGUUGUAAAGCACUUUUGUCCGGAAAGAAAUCCUUGGUUCUAAUACAGUCGGGGGAUGACGGUACCGGAAGAAUAAGCACCGGCUAACUACGUG
rnacentral:rRNA from 1 species